AACGCUUAAGCUCUUAUUUAGGAACUAAGUGUCCCAAAACUCUCCGUAACUCAAAACCAAACGUCCGCCAAAUCAUAUUAGAAGAAAUAAACUAGGGGAAAUCAAUUAAUAGGAAAUCAGGGGCGUUAAUUCUUAUGACAAUCGGCUGGGUCGUCACACGUAUAAACUAAUUGCAUUUUGGCGCGUGAGAUUUUAUCAGACUGUUUCUUUUUUGUUUUAGAAUUAAAUAAAAUUAAAUUCUGAAAGUGGAUCCCACAUUAUUAUUAUUUUCUCACUCAAAAAUUUGUCAGCAAUAAUAUUAGACAUUUUUCACCAAAUAUUUCAUGUGAACCUUCCUUACCCCAAUCAGCAAUAAUAUUAGACAUUUUUCACCAAAUAUUUCAUGUGAACCUUCCUUACCCCAACAUAAGUAGCUCCGCUACCUUAAGCUACCACCAGAGCAGUGGCCGAAAGUUUGGUCGGAGCCUUCAUUUGUUUUUUUUUAAGCAGAAAAAAGAAAAAAAUCAAGAAUUAUACCUAUUACUUCACCAUAUUAAACAAUCCAUAUACAAGAAUAACACAAAAAAGAUCAAAUCAGUUCCAAUCCAACACCAUCAUCCCAACGAUUGAACAAACAUACCCUCAUCAAGAUUUUAAUGCCUUCAUAAGCAAAAUGGAGAGAAGAACCGAGAAGUUCCAACUAGAAACCUUUAAAAACCAGCACCGGACGAUGGAGCCGACAAAGAUCACGAAGGCGUUAGUGAUAAUUUCUUGUGCAACUCCAGACCUUUUAGCACCACAUUCUAACUUUUGUGCAGCAAUGGAUAUUUCAAGAAUGAGAAUGCUUUCUACUGCCCCUCUCAAAUUUGUGGGUAUGGUUAAGAAAGAUACCCUAUCUAAGGAACAACUGUGAUCGUGAUGGUUUCAAGGAUUUAAAAGACCAAUUUUGGAUUUUGUAAACCUUAGGUUGGUUGGGGGGAGGGCGCUGCUUUUGGUUUGGAACAAGAAGAUGAAGUUAGGGGAGGGGGAGGGAGAGGAGAAAAUGCGCUAGAAGAGGGUUUUUUUCUUCUUUAAAUUCAUUUUGUUUUUUUUGGUUAAUUUAUGUUAAGUUUUAAUUACAAAUUACACAUGUCGUUUAUUGAUUGGCUCAUUUGGAAAGUAUAACUCACGCAUCCAAUAUGCUGCACUGGGGUAUCUAUUUUAUUUACUUAACAGUCACUUAAAGUGUCUAGCUGAAAAUGGUCUCAACUGAGGUAUUCAAAUGAUAGUUGAGGACAACUUGGAGGGGCACUUUAUGCACUUCAUCACUAAAGAAUUCAUCUUUUAGU
rnacentral:lncRNA from 1 species